rnacentral:pre_miRNA from 3 species
UCCUAUGGAUGAGUGAAGAAAGCGGUUUCUUGAGAUGGAAUCUACUCCUACUAAAGAUGCUGUGAA